rnacentral:rRNA from 1 species
AUUGAACGCUGGCGGCAUGCCUUACACAUGCAAGUCGAACGGCAGCACGGGUGCUUGCACCUGGUGGCGAGUGGCGAACGGGUGAGUAAUACAUCGGAACAUGUCCUGUAGUGGGGGAUAGCCCGGCGAAAGCCGGAUUAAUACCGCAUACGAUCUACGGAUGAAAGCGGGGGACCUUCGGGCCUCGCGCUAUAGGGUUGGCCGAUGGCUGAUUAGCUAGUUGGUGGGGUAAAGGCCUACCAAGGCGACGAUCAGUAGCUAGUCUGAGAGGACGACCAGCCACACUGGGACUGAGACACGGCCCAGACUCCUACGGGAGGCAGCAGUGGGGAAUUUUGGACAAUGGGCGAAAGCCUGAUCCAGCAAUGCCGCGUGUGUGAAGAAGGCCUUCGGGUUGUAAAGCACUUUUGUCCGGAAAGAAAUCCUUGGCUCUAAUACAGUCGGGGGAUGACGGUACCGGAAGAAUAAGCACCGGCUAACUACGUG